GAUGAACGCUGGCGGCGUGCCUAACACAUGCAAGUCGAACGGACAUUGAAUGAAACCUAGUGAUUUUAAUGUUAGUGGCGGACGGGUGAGUAACGCGUGGGAAACCUGCCCUGUACCGGGGGAUAACACUUAGGAAAUAGGUGCUAAUACCGCAUAAGCGCACGGUUCCGCAUGGAACAGUGUGAAAAACUCCGGUGGUACAGGAUGGUCCCGNGUCUGAUUAGCUAGUUGGUAAGGUAACGGCUUACCAAGGCGACGAUCAGUAGCCGGCCUGAGAGGGUGAACGGCCACAUUGGGACUGAGACACGGCCCAAACUCCUACGGGAGGCAGCAGUGGGGAAUAUUGCACAAUGGGGGAAACCCUGACCCAGCAACGCCGCGUGGAGGAAGAAGGUUUUCGGGAUCGUAAACUCCUGUCCUCAGGGAAGAGUUAGAAGACGGUACCUGAGGAGGAAGCCCCGGCUAACUACGUG
rnacentral:rRNA from 1 species